rnacentral:lncRNA from 1 species
ACAGCUCUGGCGCCAUAAUCAGGGUCGCGGGUUGGGAUCAGCUGUGCCUCCCCAUCCCCACCCCCUACAGACCACCUCCCCUUACCCUGCCUGCCUGGAGCCCCAGCUGGCUCUUGGAAGGUCCCUUUCCAAUUUGCUCCACAUUCGGGAGUUUCUUAUUCCCACGGGAAGAACUCGUUGCCAUGGCGAUGUGCGCCUCCCAACCCUGAAGCCCGCCCUGGAAGCGAAAUCCUUGCCUGGGCUCCCAGGCUGAGCCGGAGGACCCCGGGGGUUCACCUAGCCCUCUGGGAUAAGGGGCUUUAGUCUCUAUAUUCUUUGGGCUUGGGGGUUGGGGACAGUGGGAGGAUUAAUUAUGGAGGCAAGGUCAGAGGAAAAGGGAAAAAUGGGAAAGAUUUUAUUUAAAGCCCCUGGUCAUUCUUGCCUUUCCGCCCGCCCACCACGACCCCUCAAGCCAGAUGCCGUCUCUAGUUCGGGAGCGUUGGAUGAGGAUGCCAGGCACUCUGCUUUUCCUAAACAACUUCCAAGAACCCCGGAACAUUUCUUAAAGUGUCUGGAACGAAGCUUUAACCUCGCCUGCUCCAUCAGCCUGGGACGGAAAAGACGCGAGGGGCGAAGAAGAGGUGGGGCACGGGGAGCCCGGGCCGUUCGGCGUAAGUGAUCCAGGCUUCCAGCGCCCCGGGCGCACCCCGCGGAAAGGCGUCUGGGAGUCGGGGACGUGCGGGGGGAGACCACCCGGCCAACCCCGGGGGAUGAGCUGCAAGGCUGGCCACGCCCGGCAGGAGACUGCGCGCAGAGACCCGCCCGGGGAAGCACGGGAGGAGGGAGGGCGGCCAUGUACAACCCCUGGCAGGUGGGAGCCUCCCUGGCGCCAGCUCGGGCAGGGCCACGCCCCUUCCCAACUCCCCGCGCUCGGCCUCCGGACUGCUCAGGGGGCCACGCCCCUUCCGGAUUCCCCGCGCUAGGCCUCCGGACCGCUCAGCGGCCCCGCCCCUUCUCGAGUUCUCCGCGCUCGGCCUCCGGACGGCUCAGGGGGCCACGCCCCGUCGCCCGGGGCCCCGCCCACUCCUCAAGCCCCACGGGACUCCCAGCCUACCUCCCUCCCGCUGCCGCACUGGACUCCCAGACCUCGGCACCAACCGUAUCUCCUGUUACUCGCCCCAGGGUGGUUGCCCGGGGAAAAACUCCAAGGGUUUCACUGGCUGGCCUGGAAACCCUUUCAUCUUUGCUCCAUCAGCAGCAGCUCUUUGAUUGAGUUCUCCUGGCUUUAGAGCCUCCCACUAUGGUCAUGCUGCAAAUUCCCGUGGCCAGCACCCGAGGCCUGCUGGCUCCGAUCUGGGCCACGUGUACAACCAGGUGUGCCCCCUUAGCCUCACGCCCUCCUCCUGUUGCCUCCCCAUCCCUCUAGCCUUCGGGACUUGGGGUUGCAAUGAAUCUUAGGUUUUUUCCAGGAGUCUUUUAUUCCUCCAGCGUCUCCGUGCGCCUGUCCGCUCCAACACCUGACAUUUUCCUUCAACUCCACCCUCCCCUCCCCGAGUCCACAGACACACACCCACCCACACGCCUCUUCCCUUCCCCUCCACCCUCAGUCAGCGGCAGAGUCAGUCCAUCCAAUAGGCAGGAGCCCAAAAGACUGUCCACGGACAGCUGUCCUCUCGCCCAGGAGAGUGGGGCUGCACACAGCAGCAGGCCCAGGAGGAAAUCGUGCUUUGAUAGCCCCAGGCAUCGUAUUUCAUCGUAUUUCACAAGUGAGCCAAAUGGAGAAGGGAUUAGCUGUUUCACCCAAUAAGCCCACAUCUGUAGUUACAUUCUGACUGGGAUAAAAUUACCCUGGUUAUUAAUCCUUCUGCUUUAGGGCAUAAGCUGAUCACCAGCUGGGGUCAGGAAAAAACUCCACCCCAGCUCCUUCCAACUUGCUCCCCCAUCCUCAGCUGCUCCAUUUCCUGUGGUCUAUUCUUGCACAGUUAGGUCUACAAGCCAGGUUCAAGGCCACCAACUGAGGCACCUGUCCCGAGACAGGACCAUUCUAAUCUGCCCUGAAAAGGACAUCCCAUUGAUCAUGUAAGUAUGUACUGAGAAUCUACUGUGGGCAAGACAUUGGUCUUCGCUGUGGGAGAUACAAAAACCAUUCAGGCAUGGCCCUUGCCUUUUUCAUGCCAAGAAAAGCUGAAGUGUGUGGUCAGAAAUUGCAUGUGGUUUCUGGGACUUACUGCCCUGAAGCACCCUGGGUGUAUCGGAUGGCCUCAGGGAACACAGUUUGGGUAUGGGCAGUAUUUUCAUGCCCAUUGCCAUUCCCUUCUGCCUCAAGUGUAUGUGGGCUUUCCCUGCAGUCAGCCAGCAGGCCAGGCCAGGGUGGCUUUGUUUCUGUCUCUGACCCUUUCUCUUCAGACUCCAAAUCUGCAGGUGCUGGAGACUUUGAAGGAGUCUCCGUUUCCCUUGGUAGAAACAAGAGGUAGGAACAAGCAGGUGGAAAGCCAGGGUUACUCCUUCCAGCCAAUGGGUCUGGGGCUGCAGCACACAAAGUUGACAUCCCGAAAGGCCAUUUUCCUCGAUCGCUUCAGACCUGGCAUUGGGUGGACAGACCACAUGAUUCAGCAUCCAAAUUGGAGAUCUCUCAAUAACAGAAAGAGGUGCCAUUGAUAAUUUCGUGGAACUUUCCUGAGCACACCAGGGUGUGCUCAUUCUUCCUGAGGGGUCAUCUCCCUUGGGCAUCGUAAGAGGCACCACUGAGACACAACAGCUUUUGUCACCAUUUCCCAAUUGUGUCCCAAGCUCUCUGUCCUCUUCCCUGUGCUGGUCAUCUCACAGUCUUCUUCUGCAGGUAGAUCCCCCCUACUUCAGCCCUUCCUCCCACCUCAGCUCCUUUGUUCCCGCUGCCAUGCCCAGAACAACCUAUAUUUCCACUCUCCAACCUUGGAUCAACCCAACUGUGUUUUCACGCUACUAUGUCCAGGAUACUGGAUGAUACUAGAGAUAGCCAUCAGUAACAUUCAUUACAUGAAUAAGUCUGGGUUGAUCCUGUGACACAGUUAUGCCUUCUACCCUCUGCUGCUUCUCAACAUUGCUCAGUCCUUAUGUUGGUGUUCUCAUUUCACAUGAUAGAGUUCCAAACCUUUUGUAGCCCGAAUCGUCAUCUAUCCCCUAAUUCUUGGAAAAGACCCUAACUUCACCAAUAGCAACAACAAUCAAAACCAACUGAACAAACAAAAAAAUACUUAAGAUACGAACCUCUCAGAUUUUCUGAACUCUCCACCUCCAGACUAAAUUUGUGGAUGGAUACCUAUCUGUUGACCAGACCCUCCCUCUUCAAUGAAAACUGCCUCUCCUUCCACUCCAUCUGUGAGGCACCCUUGGAUGCUGACAUGUGCUUACAUAGGACUUCCUGUCCACAGCCAGAAUUAGCCAGAAUUCACUGACCCAUGGUUGGACUCCUAAAAUACUCAAGAUGAGAGACAUGUUACUUUUCUUUACUAUAGUAACUAUCAAAUGCAUCCCAUAACCUUAUGUUGUAAAUGUCAAAUAUGCACAAUAAAAUUUAUUUGAAAAAAUAAA